CUGCAGCCAUUUCCAGCUCCUAUUUGAAGUCCUAUGAGGAAUGCUUUGUUGUCAAGGUUAAUCUCGUUUGGGGGAAAAGAAAAAAGAAAAAAAGGGGGAAAAAAAAAAAAAAAGUCUGCUUUGGGAUUUGUGGCUGUCACCAUACAGAAGGGAAACGCAGCCUAAUGAUUCAUUUCAAUAAUGUAUUUUUUCUCCUUGAACCCAGCUGCCAUGGAGGUAGAGCAGAGGGGAAAAGGAUGCCGGGGGCGCCUGACCUCUGACUGUUUAAUGGCUUGUAAAGGUGUCAAAGGUUAAAUAAUGUUUCCACUCAUUUAAAACUACGACUAAUUGGUUGAAUAACUUUUUGGUCUGAAGAUGUGACGCAGUUGACUUCAUUAUGGGACCACUGUGGACGAUGACGUCUUAACUAUUUCAACAAUUAAUAUGCAGCUAGCCUGAAAGGUGGAAUAUCUCAGCCUCGUGACAAAAACGCGUUGGUCUGAGACUUGUGUCGUGGGCAGAGCUGAUGACCUACUAUGAGGAUCCACUCCACUGUAAAAGCAAGGAAACCUUCAUUAUACAAGGAAAAGGGCAAACUGCUCCGACUCUCAUACAGUGUGGAACACUUCGCGUGCCCAGAUGUCUCAGGCUCCAGGAGACAUGGUGCCAAUGACUUGCCAUAGAAGUAUGAAGAAGCAGAGGAUGGAUGAUAAUGUGACCUGAGGCAUCAUUUGACACUCAGCUGCAUCUGGAACAUCUGUUGUGACAGGCCUAUCAGGGUCUCGAUUCAUUCCCAUCACCUCUGUGUACAUUUCUGCUGCUGAGCCUCGCCUGCCAGAUCUGGGACUGGUUAUUAAAAACAAGCCAGGUAAACCAUCCAGAAUCCUACACCUAAACAGCAGAACACGUGUUUCACAUUUUCCCCCUUUGGCCUCUCGACUAAUACAAAGGGUGCUCACGGUUUAUGGUGUUCAUGAGGUUGCUGACGGACAUUUUAUGUGGAACAUCAAAACACAUCAUCACCACUGGCCAAGAGCCUUGAUACAUUUGUAUUAAGUCAUAUUUGAAAAAAUAAAUAAAACCAACUUAACUGUGAGGCGAAACACAGGUUUUGGCUCAUACAGAGGGGAUAAUUCUCCUCAGAUCAUUCUUUUUCACCAUUAAUGUUCUUAAAAAUAGUCAGGCUCUGCGUGGCGGCCUCUAAGUCUGUGAAUACACCCAGUGGCCCAUGGAAUGAAAGCAUCAACCACGACACACACUCACACGCCAGCGGAUUAUGUCCCAUCCCAAAGCCAGGUCGGCCUCUGACCUUCGAGGCCAAGGAAGACACACGUUAGGUGAUAAGUGAAGCUCAGGGCCUAUUGUGCACGCCGCCUCCUCGUCCAUUUAUUGACUUCCUAAAUGAUCCAUUAUGAGGUGAUUUACGAGGUCCACCGCCACCCCACAAGGCACUUCUAAAGUCGGCGGGUUGCUGUCUGCCCCAUUCAGCAGACAUCUGCACCAGUGGACGCGGCAUUUGAUUUAUCAGAGAACGGACGGAAGCUGGCCCAUGCCACCUCUAGUGUUUGUUCAAAGCCAACAGGAGAGUUAGGAAGCUGUUAUGAAUGCAAGAUGUCACCGGUGGGGUCAGGGACAAAAGGUAUGGAUGGAGCUCUGCAGGGAGCAAGGAAAACAUUAAACCCAGGGACCUGGGGAAAAAAAUUAAAAAUAAGUAGGCAAAAAAAAUUGUUAUUCAGUGUAUUUUUAAAAUGAUGGCAACAGGUUUCAAGUAAAAACAUCCAAAACAUAACCUUGAAUAGAAACAAAACAGAAAAAAAAAAAGUUACACACUUUUUUCAGUGACAGUAACGUCACAGCAUGGCAGCUUGUCUAGCCACUGACCUCGUCUUUCCUCUGCUCACUAAUGAUUCGUGGCCAUUACGCUAGUCUGGCCCUUUGAUUUCUCAGGCCUUUCCUGUACAACAUGAUGAGUUUCUCAACUCAAGGUCAUCCCAGGAGACAAAGCCUUUAUGAAGCAGAACAUCUAGCGUUUGAAGCCCUGGCCCCCCCGGCCCCUGGGCACGGUGCUGUAACACAUGAGCUCCCAUGCUGCUCAUUGACUCACAGAGAUGUUAUUAGAGACAGUGGACAGAAAAACAACAUAUUUCUAUUUUCUCUGGGACUUUCACAACAGGACCCUUGGCCUCGGUCAUGACAAAUGUCUGCUUCUUAAAAAAAGACAUCUAUAUUUGGCAUUACAUAUGAGGUAAAUGUAGAAGGCAAUGGCAGUCUUAUUUUAGGAUGCCAUCCAUUUAUUUUAAUUUCUACUAAUUUUGACAGUUUUGUACCAGUCAGUGUCAAUUCUGAGUUUUUCUGAUCUUAGAAAAGGUCACGAAAGGCCGACCAAGGAGAGAAUCGGCAGAUCAGCAUCUCCACUAAACCAACAGCUCUCUGUCCUUUAUGUCCCUGCUGUGAUUAACCUUGUUUGACAAAUACAGCUCAGGUCAGGCCAGAGGGCUGGCAUGUGUUAGGCUAAGAGCUGCUAGAAUAACAACACAAGAUUACAUAGCUGCUCAGGUGCAUCGUGCACCUCAAAUUCAAAUCCACUGGAGCAAAUCUCCCAUCAGACAGGUCAACACAAUCACAUAGGCACACAGAGCAUCACAAAAGGCUUCAGCAAACAGCGGGCUAAAAAGUCAGAAAUGGCCUGAUGAACUAGUAGCACAUAUUUGAACUACCUGCACAUUUUAAGUUACACUGUGUCUGCCUGUCUGGCGUUGAUUGAUAUAUUCAAGAUGAAAUAUUUGUAUACACAUUUAAAAUACUAAAUGUAUUAAUACUAAUAUCAAAGAAACAUUUUGCAAAAAAAAAAAAA